GGUGAACGCUGGCGGCGUGCUUAAGACACGCAAGUCGAACGGCAGUCUUCGGACUGUAGUGGCGCACGGGUGAGUAACGCGUAACUGACCUACCCCAAAGUCGCGGAUAACGAUUCGAAAGAAUCGCUAAUACGUGAUGUGCUGUCAGAUUGUGUUCUGCCAGUAAAGAUUGAUUGCUUUGGGAUGGGGUUGCGUUCCAUCAGCUAGUUGGUGGGGUAAAGGCCCACCAAGGCGACGACGGAUAGCCGGCCUGAGAGGGUGGCCGGCCACAGGGGAACUGAGACACGGGUCCCACUCCUACGGGAGGCAGCAGUUAGGAAUCUUCCACAAUGGGCGAAAGCCUGAUGGAGCGACGCCGCGUGAGGGAUGAAGGUCUUCGGAUCGUAAACCUCUGAAUCAGGGACGAAAGACACUUCGGUGGGAUGACGGUACCUGAGUAAUAGCACCGGCUAACUCCGUGCCAGCCGCCGCCGUAAAAC
rnacentral:rRNA from 1 species